UACGUAGGGGGCAAGCGUUGUCCGGAUUUAUUGGGCGUAAAGAGCGUGUAGGCGGUUAGGUAGGUCCGUUGUGAAAACUCGAGGCUCAACCUCGAGACGCCGAUGGAAACCAUCUAACUAGAGUCCGGAAGAGGAGAGUGGAAUUCCUGGUGUAGCGGUGAAAUGCGCAGAUAUCAGGAAGAACAUCCGUGGCUAAGGCGGCUCUCUAGUACGGUACUGACGCUGAGACGCGAAAGCGUGGGGAGCGAACAGG
rnacentral:rRNA from 1 species